rnacentral:rRNA from 1 species
AUGGCAUCGAUUGGGAUGGAGGCGGACGACGACGAGGACCUCGCCUUCCACCAGUUGAGGGUGGAAACCCAAAGUUGUCUGUCGUCCGCUCCACCCCGGCGCGGGUCAAGUGGCAGCGGGCCAUCAUCGCCGCCCACCGUCCCCACCGCAGCACAGUUCGAGCUCCGUCCCCGGCUGCCCGGCACGGGUGGAGCAACGGUGGUCGAGCUCGUCCGAGGCGGCGCCAUGGCCCUCCCACUGCGCGGAUCCAACUCGCGCAGUAUGUUCAGCUCGCACAACGUGUUCUUCUCCUCCGCUCCAGCACGCAUGCCAUCCUCGUCCGAGGACGAGCAGGUGGUCCACGGCAUCCUUCGAUGCUCCUUGACCACGAAGGAGUCCGCUGCCUGCUGCCGUCGGAAGUACGCAAAGGCGCUCCGGGAGGGGAUCGAGGCUUCGCAACAUGAAGCUGAAAAGGCCGCCCGAGCCAAAGCCCGCGCCGCCAGAGCCCUCGCCAGACAAGGACUCUGA